ACAAUUAAUCAACUCUACAAACUUCUAAUUUAAAUUAUUGUUAUCAAAAUAUUUAACAGUAUCUAUUUGAUCUAAUAAAUUUUUUAACAGUAAAAACUUAACUCAAAUAAAUAAUACAGAUUAGAAAUCUUUUUUUAGAGAUAGGUAGCAUGUUACCGGCUUUGUUUAUUUCAUUUAGAAAUAAAUUUAGCUAGAAAUGUGAAUUAAUUAGGAUUCGAACUUGAGACUUCGGGUACCAACCACCAAGUCCUUUGCCACUUGCACUAGGGACAGUCGGUAUAAAAAUUAGAAACUUAAUUGAAAAGUUAAGAGAUUAUAUAGAGGCUAAAGUAAAAUAUGAAGUAAAGGUGGAGGUCAAUUCUGUGAACUGAACCAUAUAAUUUUGAGAGAUUGAGAGAGAGAG
rnacentral:lncRNA from 1 species